AAAGAAAAAAGGGGUAAAUCCUAGUUGAAUCAAAAUCAAGCUAAUUGGAGAGGGAAUUCAGUGUAAAAUCGGUGCAUGAAACUCGAUUGUUGAUCAUCUUAACCUUCUUAACAAACGGGAUAAAGGAAGAGAGUUCGAAUCACACAAAGCAAGGAGGAAAUCAAGACCGAGGUAAAUCUCAAGUUUAAAUAUCAAGCUUCGUCCGGUUCGAACACGCUUCAAAGCCCGUCACAUGUUCCACUACUUUUGUAAAGAAGACAAUGUCUAAUACUUUUUGUCACUUUUGUUUAUGUCUAGUAGCUAAACCUUAGCUCCUAUCAUGUUUGUCUCUUGAAAACCU